rnacentral:lncRNA from 1 species
UUCAAUCCCCUUCGGGCCUGGCUACAUCUCCUUCUCCCCAACCUCCUUCUCCACCACCGGCUGUCGCUAUAGCCAGGCCGGUGUGGUGGCGAGCCUCAAAGCCAUCCAUCUGCCACAUCACCCAGCCACCAGCGCCACACACCUCCAUCACCAACGCCAAGCCCCCAUGUUGUCGCUACCGUUUUCUUCCCUUACCUUGAUCAGUGUUGAAUCUGGUGCUCCUCCUGCGUCCUCUGCUACUUGAUGUUGCUUCCCUCAUCCUCCCUCGGCUGCAUUAAAUCUCUACUCCGCUGCUGUUGAAUCUCUCUCUCCCUCAUCAAGAUCGCUGCUGCACCUCCUCCUGUGAACAUCUCUAUUCCCUUGCUACUCCUUCCUUGACCUGUUGUUGCUCCCUCUCCCCUCGCCCUUGCUGCUCUUCCUGUUGGUUGUGACCUUUCCUGGCUGCUGCUGAUGCCCUCAACUUCCUGCUGCUAUCUCUCUUUCUCCCUUUUUAUAUUCUCUUAAUUUUCUGUAAAAGGGGAUGUGUAGUACAUGUAAUGUUCAAAUUUUAGUAGUGCUAGCAACUUGUUGUUUGUUCAGUUUACUAAUUGUAUAAUAUAGCACUUGUUAUGCUGGAUAUAACUAGUUGACGACUUGUUAAUUUGGGAGAGAAUUGUUGUAUUAGAUUCUGCUUCUUUGAAUUAGUAAUCUGAUAGCCCAUGUGUGUGAUACUCUGUUCGUAUGUGUGUUGUUAUUCGUGUAUUUACCUUACUAUAGAACUUGUUUCCUUCUGUAGUAUCUGUGUUAGGUCGAGUACCUGUGAUAUAUAAAUAGGUCUCUAUGUGUGUGAUGUGAAGUUGUUAUAUUCUUCCCUCUACUACAUGCUUGAUUGUUAUAAUAUAUAUGUGUUCUUGUUUCUUCCCUUAAUAUUGUCUCUCAUUUGUGUUAGUACAAAAAAUACAAAAAAGGCACAGAGUAUAAUGUGAACCUCCCUUUGCUUGUUUUUGCAUUUUUUUGGUCGAUGAAUUUAUGCAAUGAUCUUACAUAAAUUUAGGUUUAUUUUCCGGAAAACAUUCCCAUAAUUGUGUGAUCUAGCUUUAGCCGAGCAUAGUCGUUGAUUUGCCUAGUCCCUGUGGAGAACACGACUACCCGCAGUUUGGGCGUAAAAACCCACUGUACUUACACUCGAUUAACCACUCAUACAAAACCUUUCCG